UUAAGCGACUAAGCGUACACGGUGGAUGCCCUGGCAGUCAGAGGCGAUGAAGGACGUGCUAAUCUGCGAAAAGCGCCGGCGAGGUGAUAUGAACCUUUGACCCGGCGAUGUCCGAAUGGGGAAACCCAGUGCAAUUCGUUGCACUAUCGUUAACUGAAUACAUAGGUUAACGAGGCGAACCGGGGGAACUGAAACAUCUAAGUACCCCGAGGAAAAGAAAUCAACCGAGAUUCCCCCAGUAGCGGCGAGCGAACGGGGAGCAGCCCAGAGUCUGAAUCAGCUUGUGUGUUAGUGGAACGGUCUGGAAAGUCCGGCGAUACAGGGUGACAGCCCCGUACACGAAAGCACACAGGCUGUGAACUCGAAGAGUAGGGCGGGACACGUGGUAUCCUGUCUGAAUAUGGGGGGACCAUCCUCCAAGGCUAAAUACUCCUGACUGACCGAUAGUGAACCAGUACCGUGAGGGAAAGGCGAAAAGAACCCCGGCGAGGGGAGUGAAAAAGAACCUGAAACCGUGUACGUACAAGCAGUGGGAGCACCUUCGUGGUGUGACUGCGUACCUUUUGUAUAAUGGGUCAGCGACUUAUAUUCUGUAGCAAGGUUAACCGUAUAGGGGAGCCGAAGGGAAACCGAGUCUUAACUGGGCGUUAAGUUGCAGGGUAUAGACCCGAAACCCGGUGAUCUAGCCAUGGGCAGGUUGAAGGUUGGGUAACACUAACUGGAGGACCGAACCGACUAAUGUUGAAAAAUUAGCGGAUGACUUGUGGCUGGGGGUGAAAGGCCAAUCAAACCGGGAGAUAGCUGGUUCUCCCCGAAAGCUAUUUAGGUAGCGCCUCGUGAACUCAUCUUCGGGGGUAGAGCACUGUUUCGGCUAGGGGGCCAUCCCGGCUUACCAACCCGAUGCAAACUACGAAUACCGAAGAAUGUUAUCACGGGAGACACACGGCGGGUGCUAACGUCCGUCGUGAAGAGGGAAACAACCCAGACCGCCAGCUAAGGUCCCAAAGUCAUGGUUAAGUGGGAAACGAUGUGGGAAGGCACAGACAGCCAGGAUGUUGGCUUAGAAGCAGCCAUCAUUUAAAGAAAGCGUAAUAGCUCACUGGUCGAGUCGGCCUGCGCGGAAGAUGUAACGGGGCUAAACCAUGCACCGAAGCUGCGGCAGCGACGCUUAGGCGUUGUUGGGUAGGGGAGCGUUCUGUAAGCCGUUGAAGGUGUGCUGUGAGGCAUGCUGGAGGUAUCAGAAGUGCGAAUGCUGACAUAAGUAACGAUAAAGCGGGUGAAAAGCCCGCUCGCCGGAAGACCAAGGGUUCCUGUCCAACGUUAAUCGGGGCAGGGUGAGUCGACCCCUAAGGCGAGGCCGAAAGGCGUAGUCGAUGGGAAACAGGUUAAUAUUCCUGUACUUGGUGUUACUGCGAAGGGGGGACGGAGAAGGCUAUGUUAGCCGGGCGACGGUUGUCCCGGUUUAAGCAUGUAGGCGGAGGUUCCAGGUAAAUCCGGUACCUUUUAACGCUGAGGUGUGAUGACGAGGCACUACGGUGCUGAAGUAACAAAUGCCCUGCUUCCAGGAAAAGCCUCUAAGCAUCAGGUAACACGAAAUCGUACCCCAAACCGACACAGGUGGUCAGGUAGAGAAUACCAAGGCGCUUGAGAGAACUCGGGUGAAGGAACUAGGCAAAAUGGUGCCGUAACUUCGGGAGAAGGCACGCUGAUAUGUAGGUGAAGCCCCUGCGGGUGGAGCUGAAAUCAGUCGAAGAUACCAGCUGGCUGCAACUGUUUAUUAAAAACACAGCACUGUGCAAACACGAAAGUGGACGUAUACGGUGUGACGCCUGCCCGGUGCCGGAAGGUUAAUUGAUGGGGUUAGCGGCAACGCGAAGCUCUUGAUCGAAGCCCCGGUAAACGGCGGCCGUAACUAUAACGGUCCUAAGGUAGCGAAAUUCCUUGUCGGGUAAGUUCCGACCUGCACGAAUGGCGUAAUGAUGGCCAGGCUGUCUCCACCCGAGACUCAGUGAAAUUGAACUCGCUGUGAAGAUGCAGUGUACCCGCGGCAAGACGGAAAGACCCCGUGAACCUUUACUAUAGCUUGACACUGAACACUGGUCCUUGAUGUGUAGGAUAGGUGGGAGGCUUUGAAGCGUGGACGCCAGUCUGCGUGGAGCCGACCUUGAAAUACCACCCUUUAAUGGCUGGUGUUCUAACGUAGACCCGUAAUCCGGGUUGCGGACAGUGUCUGGUGGGUAGUUUGACUGGGGCGGUCUCCUCCCAAAGAGUAACGGAGGAGCACGAAGGUUAGCUAAUCCUGGUCGGACAUCAGGAGGUUAGUGCAAUGGCAUAAGCUAGCUUGACUGCGAGAGUGACGGCUCGAGCAGGUGCGAAAGCAGGUCAUAGUGAUCCGGUGGUUCUGAAUGGAAGGGCCAUCGCUCAACGGAUAAAAGGUACUCCGGGGAUAACAGGCUGAUACCGCCCAAGAGUUCAUAUCGACGGCGGUGUUUGGCACCUCGAUGUCGGCUCAUCACAUCCUGGGGCUGAAGUAGGUCCCAAGGGUAUGGCUGUUCGCCAUUUAAAGUGGUACGCGAGCUGGGUUUAGAACGUCGUGAGACAGUUCGGUCCCUAUCUGCCGUGGGCGCUGGAGAAUUGAGGGGGGCUGCUCCUAGUACGAGAGGACCGGAGUGGACGCAUCACUGGUGUUCGGGUUGUCAUGCCAAUGGCACUGCCCGGUAGCUAAAUGCGGAAAAGAUAAGUGCUGAAAGCAUCUAAGCACGAAACUUGCCCCGAGAUGAGUUCUCCCUGACCCUUUAAGGGUCCUGAAGGAACGUUGAAGACUACGACGUUGAUAGGUCGGGUGUGUAAGCGCAGCGAUGCGUUGAGCUAACCGAUACUAAUGAACCGUGAGGCUUAACCU
rnacentral:rRNA from 1 species